rnacentral:rRNA from 1 species
UACAGAGGGGGCAAGCGUUGUUCGGAAUUACUGGGCGUAAAGGGCGCGUAGGCGGCCCGCUAAGUCGAACGUGAAAUCCCCGGGCUCAACCCGGGAACUGCGUCCGAUACUGGUGGGCUUGAAUCCGGGAGAGGGAUGCGGAAUUCCAGGUGGAGCGGUGAAAUGCGUAGAGAUCUGGAAGAACACCAAAGGCGAAGGCAGCGUCCUGGGAAGCAUCUGACGCUCAGGUGCGAAAGCUAGGGGAGCGAACGGG